AUGAAUGGCCCUUGGGUGGUCAUCUGGGACUUCAAUGAGAUUCUGUAUUCCCAUGAAAAGGAAGGAGGGGAUCCACGUCCAAGUCAGAUGAUGCAAAACUUCAGAGAUGCGCUGGUGGAUUGCCAACUGGAGGACAUGGGACAUAUGGGUGAAAUAUUUACUUGGAGAAGGAGGAGACUGGGGGAAAGGUUAGACAGAGGUGUGUGUAAUGGUGCAUUCCAUGCACUAUUCCCGAAUGCAACCAUAACCAAUGCUGAGCAUUCUAAAUCAGAUCAUCGUCCUUUGGUCCUGGACUUGGAAGGUGAUGGUAAUGUUGUCAACCGUUCACCUGAUGGAACCCGUCGCUUUCAGGCAAGAUGGUUGCAAGAAUAUGAUGUUACGUAG
rnacentral:rRNA from 1 species